GCUUGGUGUGGUGGCGCACACCUGUAAUCCCAAUGGCUUGGGAGGCUGAGACAGGAAGAUUGCCAGUUCAAAGCCAGCCUCUGCAAAAAGUGAGGUGCUAAGCAAUUCAGUGAGCCCCUGUCUCUA
rnacentral:sRNA from 1 species